GGAGACUGAGACUAGAAUUGAGAAAUGCUGAAUGCUAAUGAAAGCUGAACUGGAAAAACAGACUAGAAAAAAGGACCCAACCUGCAAGGAAAAGAUAAAGAGAAAAAAAAGCAGGGAGAGGUGAACAAGGCCAAAAGAACGUAAACCAAAGAAGUAAACUCUGCAAAUCUUGAUGAAUACAACUCCACUGAUUAUACAUCUUUGAGCAUAUUAUGAUCCAUAUCUCCAACUAAUAAAAGACUAAAAGAUUGCCUUUGUUAGGAAAAUCAUAAAAAUGAAUUUAAAAGUACAUAAAGUAACAGCAAGAAAUUCUGUUGUAUUCCAUUUUGAUGAAGGCAGACACAGUUAGAGAAAAACACAGGCAUAACAUUUCUAACCAAGGCUGAAGAGAUCAGAGUUUUGUUGGUAAAGUUAAGGAGGCAUUCUCAAAGAAAGGGUAAGUAUGAGAUCCAACACAAAACCAGGAUGAAUUCUUCAAGGGAAGGAGGUAGAAGCUGUGUUUAUUUAUUUAUUUAUUUAUUUUUGCUUUCAGUAUAUGCAAUAAAUAUACAGUUAAGUAAAAAGAUGAGCUGAAAAAAAAUUAUGUUGUAGAGUUGACAGGAGUCAGAAAAUAGAGUUUUUUUCCUAAAGUACUGCACAAAAUUCAAGGAGAGAAAAUGUGUCAUUGAGGGGUGUUUCAAUCAGAAAACCUUUAGAUUUAAAGGUUACUUCACCAAUAAAAGUGAAUUUUUUUGCAUUACUGACUUCAUUGUUAGGAAUAUAAUAUUGAAUGCUUUGUAAUAAAAAAGAUCAAAGAUUAUGUUGUUGUUGCUGUUAAACACUGCUACUACUAAUUAAAUACUACUAAUAAAAUUAAUUUAAAUUAGCAUACUGCCU